rnacentral:rRNA from 1 species
UACAGAGGUCCCGAGCGUUUGUUCGGAUUCACUGGGCGUAAAGGGUGCGUAGGUGGUUGUGCAAGUCUGAUGUGAAAUCUCCGGGCUUAACCCGGAAAUGGCAUUGGAAACUGCAUGGCUAGAGGGUUGGAGGGGGGACUGGAAUACUUGGUGUAGCAGUGAAAUGCGUAGAUAUCAAAGUGGAACGCCAGUGGCGAAGGCGAGUCCCCUGGACAACACCUGACACUGAGGCACGAAAGCUAGGGGAGCAAACAGG